rnacentral:rRNA from 1 species
UACGGAGGGUGCGAGCGUUGUCCGGAAUCAUUGGGCGUAAAGGGCGCGUAGGUGGCUUCUUAAGCGUGCGGUGAAAGCCUGGGGCUCAACCCCGGGUCGGCCGUGCGAACUGGGGGGGCUGGAGCACUGUAGAGGCAGGCGGAAUUCCGGGUGUAGCGGUGGAAUGCGUAGAGAUCCGGAAGAACACCGGUGGCGAAGGCGGGUCUCUGGGCCGAUACUGACGCUAAGGAGCGAAAGCGUGGGGAGCGAACAGGG